rnacentral:rRNA from 1 species
AUUGAACGCUGGCGGUAUGCUUAAGACAUGCAAGUCGAACGGUAACAGACCUUCGGGUGCUGACGAGUGGCGGACGGGUGAGUAACACGUGGGAAUCUACCUUGUAGUGGGGGAUAAGCCAGGGAAACUUGGACUAAUACCGCAUACGCCCUAAGGGGGAAAGGAGCAAUUCGCUAUAAGAUGAGCCCGCGUCUGAUUAGCUAGUUGGUGAGGUAAAGGCUCACCAAGGCGACGAUCAGUAGCUGGUCUGAGAGGAUGGCCAGCCACAUUGGGACUGAGACACGGCCCAGACUCCUACGGGAGGCAGCAGUCGGGAAUAUUGGACAAUGGGGGCAACCCUGAUCCAGCAAUACCGCGUGUGUGAAGAAGGCCUGCGGGUUGUAAAGCACUUUUAGUAGGGAAGAUAAUGACGUUACCUACAGAAAAAGCACCGGCUAACUCCGUG